GUGGGCGGCGGGGCGUCUGCUCCCUGGCUCUCGGAGUGCCCCCGCCGAGUGCCACUGCACGAAAACCCCGCUGCACAGGUCUUGCUGAGUUUGCGGGUGCUCUUAAAAAUGUUCUUCUCUUCACCCCUGAUUUUUUGGUUCAAGAGCGCACAGCAGAGCCUGGCGGAGAGAAGGAAAAUCCACCCUGUGACUUAGGAAACCGAACUGAGAAGAGCUGUGGAUUUUGUCACCAUCUGGCCUGUUCCAAGUUCAGACAAACCUUACUCCGUGAGAGUUGUAGUAAGAAAUAAACUGUCAAGACAAUCCCC
rnacentral:lncRNA from 1 species